AUCUAGCUGGCGAGUCCCAAAUAGGACGAAACUCGCGUCCUGGAU
rnacentral:hammerhead_ribozyme from 1 species